CUCAGAGAGCUGGCGCUCUCAUCCUCCUCCUUCACACGGAACUGGCCAAGCUUGGUCACUGUCACCUUCUAAGGUCCCGCAAGAUGUGAGCGACCCUUAUCUAAAUUCUCCCAUGGAGUCUUCCAUAUCUGGCAAUACAGCGGGCUACAUGUCCUAAGGAACUUUCCCGGCAGAGAAUAUUCAGUAAACUGGCACAAUAUUCAAACACCUUUUGGAAAUGCACAGGUGAGUCAGCGGAAAGGCAAGGGGAAUUACUAGAGGCUGGAAAUGAGAAAACAGAAUCCAGAGAGUCAGGCGAGCUGCACUAAGUAUUAAGUGAUUGUUUCUCAGCUCAAACCUACCCUCUACAACUCAUCUCUGUGAUCUGGGCCCGCACUUGGCAAACCACAUUUCUGCUUCCCUAGCUGAUCGUGACCAGGCUCUGCCAAUAGGGGGGGCAAGAGAGAGAGUUUGCAAGGCUGCAGGAGGGAGGAAGGACCUGCUUCUCGUGCAUUUGCAGAUCCUGUGAGCAUCACCCCCAGUUAAGCUUCUGCUGCUGCAGUGGU
rnacentral:antisense_RNA from 1 species